rnacentral:rRNA from 1 species
GAUGAACGCUGGCGGCGUGCCUAAUCCAUGCAAGUCGACCGACCAGACAAAGCGCUUUCUCCUUUGCAGUUGACGGGCGACGGGGGAAUAACCCGUGGAGAACCCUCCUCCAAGCCUGGGAUAACGUAUGGGAAACAAAGCUAAUAACGGAUUAAACUUUGUUGCGCAUUGUACAAAAGUGAAAGGCGGUUUUGCUGUCACCUAGAGAUGGACCCGCGGUGCUUUAGUUAGUUGGUAAGGUAAAGGCCUACCAAGCCAAGGAUGCAUAGCCGAGGUGAGAGACUGAUCGGCCACAAUGGGACUGAGACACGGCCCAAACUCCUACGGGAGGCCGCAGUAGGGAAUCUUCCACAAUGGGCGAAAGCAUGACGGAGCAACGCCGCGUGUGUGAUGAAGGUUUUCGGAUCGUAAAGAACUGUUAUAUGGGAAGAACAGCUAGAAUAGGAAAUGAUCCUAGAUUGACGGUACCAAACCAGAAAAGCACGGCUAACUACGUG